AGAAAAGUUGAAAAAACUAACCCUCCGUUACAUCUUGACGUGUCAUGUCGUAACGUACAGCACACAUAAAGCAACUAUUUCUGUCUUACAAUCUCUCUCCACCAGGUAUAGUACUUCUAUCAUCCUUUAAAAACAAGAAAUGGACAGUGACGGGGGUAAGGGGGGAUACCUAGUCAUUUUUUUCGUCAUCAUUGCAUGCGAUCAUCAUUCUCAAAGCCGCUGUUUACUUCUAAGAUCACUUUAGCACCGCCCUAAAAACCCGAUUCAAAUUCGACACAAACCUUCAAAUAGGUAUGUAAUGAUACAUUAUAUAAACUCUUUAUAGUGUUUUAUUUACAUUUUAGAGGCGAUAAGGUGAUAAGUUGGACAGAUCGAGUGAAAAAAAGCAAUUUUCCCACACAACAUCUCUCCUUCUCACUAUCACGCAAUAGUUUUGCUUCCCCACCCGCCAUUUUUAAAAAGACCCGACGGGGCUCAUUGCCUGCUUGAAUUAUGCAGAAACAGGCAGCGUUUAGGACAUGUAAUUGAUUCUGUUGGAAAGGGGAGAAAUUGUGCUUUACAAUGGUAUUGACGUUACAGUUGAUCUGGAAGUAUUACUUUUUGGGGGCGCUAAAAUAAGGGCAAUUGUACGGACCAAGGCGAUGUACGAGUUUACGUUAAUUGUUGAGGGACCACUUGUCACAUUGUCUAAGGUGGGUUUGUGUUAUGAAAAACAAUCCGUUUUCAGUCCAGAUGAAGAUGGUGAUACAGCAUUGAAACAGACCUACCUCUGACCAAAUGUCUCUUUGUUUUCCAACAGAAGUACAUCCCUCAGACCAUCCGGUGCAUGGACAUCCUGUGCCAGUGUGAUCCGAGUACAUGAGGCGUAAAUGCGUAACAUUAAGCAGUGCAGGAUCAACGCUUCCCUAACCAGGGAGAGCUGCUGGAAGUGAUGUACUCUCUCACUCUGGUGGAAAGACAUUUAAACAUCAUGAAUUCCCACUAUGCCCAUGAUAAAAUGCAACGUUAAUUGUGCUGUACUGAAUGAGACUGAGGAGAUGCAAUCCAACCAGGCUUUGUGAUUGAAAUAGUUUAACAACAUUAUUUUAGUUCAAAUCAAAUCAAAUGUUAUUUGUCACAUACACAUGGUUAGCAGAUGUUAAUGAGAGUGUAGCAAAAUGCUUGUGUUUCUAGUUCCGACCAUGCAGUAAUAUCUAACAAGUAAUCUAACCUAACAAUUUCACAACAACUACCUUAUAUACACAAGUGUAAAGGAAUUAAUAAGAAUAUGUACAUAAAAAUAUAUGAAUGAAAGAUGGCCGAACGGCAUAGGCAAGAUGCAGUAGAUGGUAUAGAGUACAGUUUAAAUACUGUACUUGGUUUUUGUUUUUGUUUUAAAUGGCUUGGUUUUUGUUUUACAUGCACUGUCAACUGUGGGACCUUAUAUAGACAGGUGUGUGCCUUUCCAAAUCAUGUCCAAUCAUUUUAAUUUAACACAGGUGGACUCCAAACAAGUUGUAGAAACAUCUCAAGGAUGGUCAAUGGAGUUUAAUUUCGAGUCUCUUAGCAAAGGGUCUGAAUACUAAUGAAAAUAAGUUAUUUCAGUUUGUGUUUUUUUAAAUGUGCAAAAAUGUAAAAAAUAAAAAUAAAAAAUAAACUGUU
ensembl:lncRNA